GACGAACGCUGGCGGCGUGCUUAACACAUGCAAGUCGAACGCUGAAGCUCAGCUUUUGUUGGGUGGAUGAGUGGCGAACGGGUGAGUAACACGUGAGUAACCUGCCCCCUUCUUUGGGAUAACGCCCGGAAACGGGUGCUAAUACUGGAUAUUCACUGGUCUUCGCAUGGGGGUUGGUGGAAAGGGUUUUUCUGGUGGGGGAUGGGCUCGCGGCCUAUCAGCUUGUUGGUGGGGUGAUGGCCUACCAAGGCUUUGACGGGUAGCCGGCCUGAGAGGGUGACCGGGCACAGUGGGACUGAGAUACGGCCCAGACUACUACGGGAGGCAGAAGUGGGGAAUAUUGCACAAUGGGCGCAAGCCUGAUGCAGCGACGCCGCGUGAGGGAUGGAGGCCUUCGGGUUGUGAACCUCUUUCGCUCAUGGUCAAGCCGCAACAAUGGUUGUGGUGAGGGUAGUGGGUAAAGAAGCGCCGGCUAACUACGUG
rnacentral:rRNA from 1 species